AAGGCAAGUUUUGACGGUGAAGACUCAGACAUGAAUGAUGACAGCAGAGAACAAAGCAAGGAAGCAGGACAAAAGAAGAGUGAAACUGAGACUACAGAACAAGAUGAUGGUAAAGGCUUAGAGAUGAAUGAUGAAGAUAGAGGGAAAAAGUCUGGAAUCAACACUUGGGAACCAAGCCAGGAGAGCAAGAUUUUACAACAACAUUCAUCCACACAACCUGUCACCAUUUCUGGUAUAUCAUCAUUUGU